CGGAGGACUGAGAAGGUGAGGCAGUUCUGAACCAUGCUGCCUUCCACUGGUUAAGACCUCCGAGAGCGAAGGCCUGCAGAGGCAGAGGAAGUCCCUCUGCCGCCCCCAGAGGGGCAGCACUGUGUUGGCCGACACUUG
ensembl:snoRNA SNORA47 small nucleolar RNA, H/ACA box 47